UCCGCUGUUUUCCCCUCAUAACAAUUAAGUAAAUAAGAUUUCAGCAACGACAGACCACGUCUCCCUGUUUCAUCCUUUCCCCUGUAUUAAAGAGUGUACUAACAGUUCUUACCUGACUGGAAGGUGAUCUCGCUGAACAACAUCCAGGCAUCAGCAAAGUAGAACUGGCACUUGAUGGCGCUGGCCAUGUGAUUGAGCAGGUUGACCGUGACGAAUCGGGCGCUGAGGUUCUUCUCAUCCACCACAGGGCUGAAGGAGAGCGGCGAGGCCUCCCAGUCUGCUUCGGAGCGGAAGUAACACACCACCUGGCGGAAGACCUUGACGUGCCAGACAAGGAAGCCUGCCUGUGUCAUGGAGGACAUUAUUCACCACGCCAUAAUCCAAACACUACUGUCAACAAAAGACUGAUUGGUUCAUUCUGGUUUUUAAACUUCAUAAGCACAGUUGACUCAGUCAUUCCCAUGAGGUAUUGCCUAACAGUAAACCACCAUGACCCACUCACCACCGUCUGUCUCUUUGCUUUCACCAUGGUGACCAGGCAACAACAAGGUGAGGGGAAAAAGUACUGACGGAGGAUGAUAGCAAUGAUGAAGCAAUGUGGUGGUGUUUGAAAAAGGAAGGAGGAAAGAAUAAUGAAACACACACACACCUGUGGAUGACAGCUCCAUCAUAGACAGAGUCAUUUAAGUAAACAGGGUAAGCAGGCAAGUUCAUCUGUUCUCCCACUGGAGCGUUGUAUGACACAAGACCAUCUGUAAGGCAAAGAACAUUCAUUUUUUAGAUGUUGUGCGAGUCCAUCAUUCAAAACUCAAGAAAAGCAUGAUUCAAAAAACACAUACGUUUUUGUCAAAUCGUAAUUGAGAUUUUUAAGCAGUCAAUACUUAAAAAAUUACACACAAGGCAUGGGUAGAAUGAAGUGCAGAUGCAGAAUAUGCAGCAUGUGAAAUGUUUUAUUAAAGGGCCUGGUAAUGCUUAAA